rnacentral:rRNA from 1 species
CUUGUAGGCGGUUAUGUAAGUUAGAUGUGAAAUCUUCGGGCUCAACCUGGAAACUGCAUCUAAAACUGCGUAACUAGAGAGCAGUAGAGGGGAGUGGAAUUUCCGGUGUAGCGGUGAAAUGCGUAGAUAUCGGAAGGAACACCAGUGGCGAAGGCGGCUCCCUGGGCUGUUUCUGACGCUGAGGAGCGAAAGCGUGGGUAGCGAACA